CCUCCGAUUUAGACUUCUUUUGUAGGUCCCGGCGGCGACCGCGACUCCCUCGACUCCAGCUUCUCCGGCGUAGACAGAUUUUUGCACCAACACCUCUCAUUGCUUCACGGGCCAUCAAGGCCCUUAUAGGCAUAAAACCCAUCCUGUGUCAAAAUUUCACCUUCAAAAAGAUUCCAAUUACCUUCCUGGCCAUUGGAUCUUCCCCGUUCGUGUCUCCAGCCGCU
rnacentral:lncRNA from 1 species